CGUAGGUGGCGAGCGUUGUCCGGAUUUACUGGGCGUAAAGAGCGCGCAGGCGGUCGUGCAAGUCGCGUGUGAAAGCCCCCGGCUCAACUGGGGAGGGUCACGCGAUACUGCUCGACUCGAAGGCAGGAGAGGGAAGUGGAAUUCCCGGUGUAGUGGUGAAAUGCGUAGAUAUCGGGAGGAACACCAGUGGCGAAGGCGACUUCCUGGCCUGUUCUUGACGCUGAGGCGCGAAAGCUAGGGUAGCAAACGGGAUUAGAUACCCCGGUAGUCCUAGCCGUAAACGAUGGACACUAGGUGUUGGUGGUAUCAACCCCGCCAGUGCCGAAGCUAACGCAUUAAGCACUCCGCCUGGGGAGUACGGCCGCAAGGCUG
rnacentral:rRNA from 1 species